rnacentral:rRNA from 1 species
GAGUUUGGAUCCUGGCUCAGGAUGAACGCUGGCGGCGUGCCUAACACAUGCAAGUCGAGCGAUUUACUUCGGUAAAGAGCGGCGGACGGGUGAGUAACGCGUGGGUAACCUGCCCUGUACACACGGAUAACAUACCGAAAGGUAUGCUAAUACGGGAUAAUGUACUUUUGUCGCAUGGCAGAAGUAUCAAAGCUCCCGCGGUACAGGAUGGACCCGCGUCUGAUUAGCUAGUUGGAGAGGUAAUGGCUCACCAAGGCAACGAUCAGUAGCCGACCUGAGAGGGUGAUCGGCCACAUUGGAACUGAGACACGGUCCAAACUCCUACGGGAGGCAGCAGUGGGGAAUAUUGCACAAUGGGCGAAAGCCUGAUGCAGCAACGCCGCGUGAGCGAUGAAGGCCUUCGGGUCGUAAAGCUCUGUCCUCAAGGAAGAUAAUGACGGUACUUGAGGAGGAAGCCCCGGCUAACUACGUGCCAGCAGCCGCGGUAAUACGUAGGGGGCUAGCGUUAUCCGGAAUUACUGGGCGUAAAGGGUGCGUAGGUGGUUUCUUAAGUCAGAGGUGAAAGGCUACGGCUCAACCGUAGUAAGCCUUUGAAACUGAGAAACUUGAGUGCAGGAGAGGAGAGUAGAAUUCCUAGUGUAGCGGUGAAAUGCGUAGAUAUUAGGAGGAAUACCAGUUGCGAAGGCGGCUCUCUGGACUGUAACUGACACUGAGGCACGAAAGCGUGGGGAGCAAACAGGAUUAGAUACCCUGGUAGUCCACGCCGUGAACGAUGAGUACUAGGUGUCGGGGGUUACCCCCCUCGGUGCCGCAGCUAACGCAUUAAGUACUCCGCCUGGGAAGUACGCUCGCAAGAGUGAAACUCAAAGGAAUUGACGG